AGCGGGGUAGGACGGCUCCUGGGCCGGGCUCAUAACCUGGUUGUCGUCGGUUCGACUCCGGCCCCCGCUAC
rnacentral:tRNA from 1 species